rnacentral:lncRNA from 1 species
UCUGUCACUUGGUCUCUUGCGGAAGAUAAAAGAAAACGUAAUUUGUAAAUUGUUGUUGGCCAACAGAAGAAAAGGAUAACCAUGCAAUAAAAAUGAUGGCAACGAUGGAAGAUUUUAAUGCCUUUGAAAGAGAGUUGUUAGACGAACAGAAACGUUCAAUCAUGAGAAAAUCUUUACGUUAAGUCCGUGGUUUGGAUGCGAAAGACCAAGUAAAAAUGAUACUGGAAAGACUGUUUACCGUUGGACUUCUGUCCCAAUUUAACUUAGUGGAGACAAAAAGAAAGGACCGCUGUGGAAAUAAGAGGGGGUUGUAAGGAUCAGCCGUUUUUGAAUUAA